rnacentral:rRNA from 1 species
UACAGAGGUCUCAAGCGUUGUUCGGAUUCAUUGGGCGUAAAGGGUGCGUAGGCGGCGCGGUAAGUCGGGUGUGAAAUUUCGAGGCUUAACUUCGAAACUGCAUUCGAUACUGCCGUGCUUGAGGACUGGAGAGGAGACUGGAAUUUACGGUGUAGCGGUGAAAUGCGCAGAUAUCAGGAAGAACACCUAUGGCGAAAGCAGCUCUCUGGGACGGUACUGACGCUGAGACGCGAAAGCGUGGGGAGCGAACAGG